UUUAAAAUACAGAAGUAAUUCAUUCUUAAUGUGAUAGGAAAUUGGCUGCUCAAGUACACUGUGUUCUUGGUUAGUGCACACACAUAAGGUCAAAAUCCGCUACCCACCCCGACAAUAAGGCAAAUACCGCAGCAAACUACGAAGAAAGAGUCACUCAGUACAGUGCAACCACAGUACAGAACGUUUAUAUGAUAUUGCCUCAAUGAAUUACCAAACAAAACCUUGCAACAGUGGAGGUUACGAUUAGCACUCACCGGUUUGUUGUAAAGGUCGAACGCACGAGAGGUGUGCACAUGCGCAGCAGUGAAUAUCGUAUUUCCGGUUUCCUCAGACGCACGCACGAUGGUACGUGAUGGUACGUACGAGGUUAAUCAGCGGAGGAAAUUGAUGCAUCAUAUUCUGGUUAUGUUCCAACUUUGGGGUCACUUUGAAGAGCAGAAGUGGAGAUCAACACCAUGUUAAACACUAAAUCACUUUUAAGAUGGAGCAGCAGAGCAUGAAGGCAAGGCCACAGCAGAAGGAAGAGCGAUGAUGAGCUUGCAGAGAUGCAAAGACCAUGGAGAAGACCUACCAUACACCAGCAAGUGGUGAAAGCCGUGGACAAGACUGUGCAAAAAAAUAAAAAUAGGGAAUAAAUAAAUAAAUAAAUAUCAUUUAUUUGAGCUGAAACAACCAAGUCACUUCCUUUAACAUUGUCCCUGGACCAACAGCAUUAAAAUUGGAUCUAAAGAUAUACGUUGUUUUUUGUUCGUACCUGCUUUCGAUACUUUCAUUUUUUCUAUAAACUACUUAAACUACUUCGAUACUUUUUUCUGAUACCAGACUGGUAUUGUUUAACUAUCUAUUGCUUUAUUUUUGUAGAUUCUAUUUGCAGCAAAAGGAUAAUAAGUUAUUCUAUCACAUUGAUUAUAACAACUGUUAAUUUACAAACCUGCUGGUUUAGGGCUUGUGCUUUCAGCUAGAAGGUCCCGGGUUUGAUUCCCACCUGGACGGAGCCUUUCUGUGUGGAGUUUGCAUGUUCUCCCCGUGUCUGCGUAGGUUUCCUCUGGGUACUCCGGUUUCCUCUACCACUAAAAAAAACAUGUACAAUAGGCCAGGGUGAAUGAGUGCGAAUGUGGGAUGACGGAUGGAAAUUAGGGGGAAAAUACACUUGAGAAAAUACAACAAGCCUAAAAGCAUACAGUAUAUACACAUUGGGGUGGCAUGGUGGCUCAGUGGUUAGUGCUUCACAGAAGACCAGGGCUGCAUCCGAAACCAUUAAAUUGUAGCCUCUAAGUACUAACACUAGCAACUAAUCCUUAACCUUUCAUG
rnacentral:lncRNA from 1 species